rnacentral:misc_RNA from 1 species
CAAACAUUUAAAUCCAUGCAUAUCUCUCCAUCUUUUUUCACAACAAUCUUAAUCUUUCUAUGGCUUAAAACUUCAUGUCAUUAGAAAUUUUCUCACCAAAUUCAUAAUCAUACAUGUCUGCAAGUCAAAAUUAAUUAAUCUUUCAUUAAUUCUCUCAAAUCAGUACUCUGGUGAAAAUUCUUAGUAAUCAAAAGAAGGAUCUAAUAGUUGAGGAAAUUGUGAUCGCAUUUCUCUGUCCUUAUCCAAGAUACCA